AGGUAUCCAUCCUCCUCCAGUUGCGUCAGCCCUGUCAGGGCUCCAGCAACCAUGGAUAAUGAGAUUACCAAGCUCUUCUGGGAAGACAAUGUGUUCCAACAAUGGCCCGUUCCACAUGCUUUCUUUAUAUGAGUGACACUCCUCUUUAUCCACAAGAUGUGUGCCCUGAGCAACAGCAACCAUGCUGUGAAGAAGCACGAACCAGCCUAGACUGAUAGAUGGCAUACAAAGGCUCACAUGGAGUGGAACUGAGGUCCCCAGCCAGCAGCCAGCAGCCAGCAGCCAGCCUCAACUACCAGCCCAGUGAGUGAAUGAAGCUUCAAAUGAUUCUACCACUCAGCUUUUGAUCCACUUCAGCUGUUGCAAUGUAGCGCUAAGACAAGUUAUCCCCACUAAAUCCUGCCCAAAUUACAGAUUAAUGAGCAAAACA
ensembl:lncRNA GRM7-AS1 GRM7 antisense RNA 1